rnacentral:tRNA from 2 species
GCGGGAGUGCCGGAGCGGUCAAACGGGAUGCGUUCAAAGCGCAUUGGUGUAGUGCCUGCAUAGGUUCGAAUCCUUUCUCCCGCA